rnacentral:rRNA from 1 species
UAAUAAUUUUUUUAUUUAUUUUAUUUUUUUUUUUAUAAAAAUCUUUUUUUAUUGUUAAUUUUUUAUUUUAUUUAAUUUUUUUAUUUAUAGUUUAUUUAACUGUGAAGGUAAAUUUUAUAUUUAAAUGAAUAAUAUUUUUUUUUAGUACCUUUUGUAUCAGGGUUAAUUAAAUUUUUAAAUUUAUGUAUUUUGUUCUCGAAAAUUUAAGAGUUAGAUAAUUUUGAAAUUCGUUGUUUCAUUAACGUUUUUAAAUUUUAUUCUAGUUUUGAAAUGAAAUUCGUUUAAUUUUAUAUCUAGUUAACUGAGAAAUUAAUUUAAUUAAGGAUUUCUUUAAAAUUAAUUAUUUUUUUUUUGAUUUCUAAUAUUAAGGUGGAUAAUCUCCUUAAUCUAAUAAAAUUGUAUUUAAAAAUAAAUUUUGUAGGUUUAAGAUCUGUCAUCAUUAUUAAGUUCGUUAAAGAUUAAUUUUAAGUUUUUGUAUUUUAAUUUAUUUAUAUAUUAGUUUUUUUAUUAAAAUUUUUGAGUUUUUAAUAAUGAUUGAAUUAGUAAAUUUUAAAAAAUUAGGUUUAUGAAUUAGGCAAAUUUAAUUUUCACCUGUUUAACAAAAACAUGUCUUAUAGAUAUAUAUAUUUUAAGUCUGGCCUGCUCAAUGAUUAUUUUUAAAUAGCCGCAGUAUAUUAACUGUGCUAAGGUAGCAUAAUAAUUAGUCUUUUAAUUGAGGUCUUGUAUGAAUGGUUGGAUGAAAAAUUUUCUUUAUUGAUUUUAAUUUAUUGAAUUUUAUUUUUUAUUUAAAAAGAUAAAAUGUUUAAAGGGGACGAUAAGACCCUAUAGAUCUUUAAAAUAAAUAUUUUUUAGUUUUUUUAGUUUUUUUUUCAUUAAAAUUUAUUUUAUUUUUUUGUUGGGGUGACAGUUAAAAAUUUAAACUUUAAUUUUUUUUUAACAUUUAUUAAUGAUUAAUUUGAUCUUUCUUUUUGAUUAUAAGUUUAAGAUACCUUAGGGAUAACAGCGUUAUAGAUCUGGAGAGUUCUAAUCAAUAGAUCUGUUUGCGACCUCGAUGUUGGAUUAACUUUAAUUUGUGGGGUAGGUUUUACAAUUAUUAGGUCUGUUCGACCUUUAAAAAGUUACAUGAUCUGAGUUCAGACCGGCGUAAGCCAGGUUGGUUUCUAUCUCUUUAUUUUUUUUUUUAAUUAGUACGAAAGGACUUUUAAAAAGUAAAAUUUAUUUUAAUAUAAUUUU